rnacentral:rRNA from 1 species
UAGCGGAGGAAAGAACCAACAGGGAUUGCCUCNAGUAACGGCGAGUGAAGCGGCAACAGCUCAAAUUUGAAAUCUGGCUCCUUCANGGUCCGAGUUGUAAUUUGUAGAAGAUGCUUCCGGUGAGGCUCUGGUCUAAGUUCCUUGGAACAGGACGUCAUAGAGGGUGAGAAUCCCGUACGUGACUGGCUGCCUUCGCCNAUGUGAAGCUCUUUCGCACGANUCGAGUUGUUUGGGAAUGCAGCUCAAAAUGGGUGGUAAAUUUCAUCUUAANCUAAAUAUUGGCCAGAGACCGAUAGCGCACAAGUAGAGUGAUCGAAAGAUGAAAAGCACUUUGGAAAGAGAGUUAAACAGUACGUGAAAUUGUUGAAAGGGAAGCCCUUGCAACCAGACUUGCACGCGGUUAAUCAUCCGGNGUUCUCACCGGUGCACNUUGACCGCGUUCAGGCCAGCAUCUGUUCAGGUGGCAGGAAAAAGGCCUUGGGAAUGUAGCUUC